ensembl:lincRNA
GUUUAAGGUCUCUCUCUUUCUCGAGCUGAAAUUAUCUUCCACUUGUCUUAAUUCCAGGAUCAUCCCUUUCCAGUACAUCGGAAAUUUACAUUGUUUCCAGAAUUCUCUAUUUGAAACAGGAAUAAAUCUAAGUCACCCCUAUGCUUAAAAACACUUGUUGUCUUCCAGCUGUUAAGAGGAGAUGAUGCUCCAAGGGCACAGCGUUGAAACAAUGGAAAUUUGGCUGGACAACCUUGGACUAGUGAUUCUGCUGGAGCCUCAGCUUCCUCACCUGAAAAUAGGGGCAAAUGGUCCUACUGCAUAGGGUUAUGUGCAGAUUAGAAAUAACAUGCGCUGUGCUCAGCGGAGCCUCUCGCACAAUGUGAGCUUUCAAGACAUGCUAGCUCUUAGCUAUUCUUUUUUAAAUAGGUGAAGACACAGUGAGAAGACAGCUGUCAGUGAAGCCGGAAGUGGGCUCUCACCAGACACCAAAUCUGCCAGCACCUUGAUCUUGGACUUUCCCGCUUCCAGAACUUAAGCAAGCCUACUGGAGAAAUCGUGCUGACUGGGACACCUCCCGCUUCCCAAAUAAAUCACUGAGAUUUACUGAACACUAACUGCACUAUGGGAACUGGAGAACGAAAAAGGCUGGAAGAGUCCUAGAAACCAUCUUGGACCCAGGAGGGGUGCGAAGGAAGCUGGACCACAGAGGCAGCCUUACAUCAGGCAUCAGGCCUGUCCUCCAGGCAUCUGUAAGCCUGAGCAGCAGGGGAGCUUCUCUUUGGGAUGAAGAACUUGGGACUCAGAAUGCUCCUGACAGACAAAUUAAAGGCAGAUCAACUAACUGGAUGGUUCACUGGUUUACUUGCCUCUCCUGUUCUCCGAAACUUUCUAUGUGGUCAUGGCUGAGAUUACAAAGUCAGUUGUAGCUUAAGGUCCAGACAUAGAUCUGUGUAGAAUAGAUUGACUAAGAAAGUCUACUUGAGAUAUUAAAGCUAAAUGAUAUUAAUGAUAUUUCUUUAAAUUAUCUGGAGAAACUAUAUGUUCCCUCUUAACUAGAAAUGCUCUGUUAAUCUGAGAAGUAGAAUUUUAGGGAAAUUUCCAAAAAUAUUUUGUGUGACGUUGAAGUCAUAAUUAUGUAAGACCGAGGUGUUUUCAUAACCUGAUGCUAAGUGUGUCGCCUGACAUUUGUGGAGAUGAUAUUGUUGGGAUAAUUUAGGCUUUCAGGUAAUGGAUUUAUCCUGAUGUACUUCUGUUCUCUUAUCUGGGAUAGUGCAUUUGUGACCAAAAAAACCCCUAAUGCAUGGGGAUGAAUUUAUACGUUUAUAGAGUCUUUUUUUAAAAAUUAUUUAUUUAUUUGACAGAGAGAAAUUACAAGUACACUGAGAGGCAGGCAGAGAGAGAGAGAAGGAAGCAGGCUCCCUGCUUAGCAGAGAGCCUGAUGCGGGACUCGAUCCCAGGACCCUGAGAUCAUGACCCAAGCCAAAGGCAGCGGCACAACCCACUGAGCCACCCAGGUGCCCCUAUAGAGUCUUUUUCAUUUAAAAUUCUAUUGGGAGACUAUCUGAUUUACAUCUCAUUUAGGAGGAUCUCUGGGUUUAUCACCUGAUUGGGCAUGUUGAAAAAAAAUACAAAUACAUACACACCACAUUUAUAAAUAUAUACUUGUCCUAUGUUUUGAUAAGAAGAGAUGGUCUGAUGUAUGGCACAGUAGCAAAUGUUCAAAAGGUCAUGCCAUGCUUUUGUGUGUCAUGGCCCAGAGCAAGAUAACCUAGUUUUGAUUUUUGUCAUGGUUGUUCCUAGUCAAAACCAUGUGAUAAGGAAUUUGUAUUUAGCUCUUUCCAUAUUCCUUUCCUGACUCCCUUCCCUUCACUGGCUUGAACUUGUGGUUCUCAGUUUUAGUAUUCUCAAGUUAUUCACUGUUUGCUUAGAAUCUUUACUAAAUCUUUAUCACUUGGCCUGCCCUCCUUCCUAGUACACCAUGUGCCACUCUUUUCCUCUGCCCCAUCCCAAUGGAUCUGCCCUAUGGGUCUUAUUUUUAGUAUUGUUAGAUGGGGAGAGCUAAUAGAAUUACAAAAAAAAAAAAAUGUGAGCCAUCAAAUUCUUUACCAACAAUGAUUAUUAUUGUGGAAGUUUAGAUCCCUUUGCAGGAUCGAAAGGGCAGAUAUUUGGG